rnacentral:rRNA from 1 species
GGACGAACGCUGGCGGCGUGCUUAACACAUGCAAGUCGAACGAUGAAGCCUAGCUUGCUAGGUGGAUUAGUGGCGAACGGGUGAGUAAUACGUGAGUGACCUACCUUUGACUCUGGGAUAAGCCUGGGAAACUGGGUCUAAUACCGGAUACGACCAAUCUCCGCAUGGGGUGUUGGUGGAAAGCGUUAUGGCGUGGUUUUAGAUGGGCUCACGGCCUAUCAGCUUGUUGGUGAGGUAAUGGCUUACCAAGGCGACGACGGGUAGCCGGCCUGAGAGGGUGACCGGCCACACUGGGACUGAGACACGGCCCAGACUCCUACGGGAGGCAGCAGUGGGGAAUAUUGCACAAUGGGCGCAAGCCUGAUGCAGCGACGCCGCGUGAGGGAUGACGGCCUUCGGGUUGUAAACCUCUGUUAGCAUCGAAGAAGCGAAAGUGACGGUAGGUGCAGAGAAAGCGCCGGCUAACUACGUG